GACGAACGCUGGCGGCGUGCUUAACACAUGCAAGUCGAGCGGAGCGGCGAACGGGUGAGUAACGCGUGAUUAACUGCCCCCCUCUCUGGGAUAACAGAUGGAAACGGCUGCUAAUACCGGAUAGUGGGGGAUGACUCGCGUCCUAUCAGCUUGUUGGUGGGGUAGUGGCCUACCAAGGCGACGACGGGUAGCCGGCCUGAGAGGGCGACCGGCCUCAUUUGGUUGAGGUGACGGACAGACUGAUCCGGGAGGAAGGAGUGGCGAAUAAUGAACACGGGGGGAAACUCUGAAGCCGCACUUCGAGCGGGUGAGGGCGGAUCUACUGGUGUACGCGGAUCACAGCUAUCACGAGGUUGUCGUAGAAGUAGCACCGGCUAACUACGUGCCAGCAGCCGCGGUAAUUC
rnacentral:rRNA from 1 species